AAGUUACCGGGGGCCUCUGCAGCUACCCUGACAAAGUACCUCAUGAGGGGAUGAGAUGGGUUUGCCAACUUCUACUUCUUCUACUCGUUUUCCUUCAAGAAAAUCAGAAUGGAACCACAUCCCACAAUUACGAAGAUUUUUUCCAAAUCCAGAAACAAUAUUGUUUGUUUAAGAGUGGCGAGACUCCCAUUAGGGAAGAUGAAAUUUUCCCCUUGUGGGACUACCUUUUCGCCUGGGUGUCUCAAUGCAACUGGAAAUUGGUCCUCUUUAUGGGUUUUGGGGGGAUUCUUUUGGAGAUAAUCCUUUUGGAAAUUUUCACAUCCUGUAUGUCGAGGCCUGGAUUUCAACCACAAGGCAGUUCAGGCCAACUGACAGCUUUCCACUGGGAGGAUGAAGAAGUUCCCAAGACAUCCCCAAGAAAAGAUUCAGGGUCCAAAACUCAGAAACGUUCAAGAAGCAGAAGACAUUUCGGGACCAUUCCGGAGAAUGACGACGAACUCUGUUACACUGAAUACUCCUACCAAGACAUCACUCCAGCUUUCCCUGGAAGAGGGGAAUCUGGAGGUCGAAGCAGCAUCACGCCAGCUUCGUCCGGAAGAGGAGAAUGUAUAGAUAGAAGCAACAUCAUUCCAGUCUCACCCAGGAGAAGAGAAUCUGUAGAUAGAGGCAAUGUCUUUCCAGCUUCACCUGGAAGAAGAGAAUGUGUAGAUAGAAGCCACAUCAUUCCAGUUUCGCUUGGAAGACGGGGAUCUGCAGAGAGAGCCAAUUUCAUUCCGGUUUCACCUGUGAGGAAGUGGUCAUUGGUUACAGCCAACAUCACCACAAUACCCCUGGCAAGAAGGGAUUCCACGGGCAGUGACCAUGGAUGUCAGUUCAGAUAUCCUUUUCCCAGCGGGGCUCCGAGAGCCUCCUUGUUCCAUUCGGAACUCCGGGAACACCCUCCUUGCCAGAGACAUUUAGUACAACGUGAAUGUGAAAUCAUUCCAUUUUCACCGAGAAAGUCAAUGUCAAUUCUCAAAACACCAAACCCAAACAAACAUAGGAUUGUUCGGUUUUCUUCGACUUGCCCAUAUAACUGUGUGAGGAAGAGAGUGCCGGCUUCGGAAAACCUAGAGGGAACGUACUUCCUGUGUCCUCCUCCCCUUUUAUGUUUUCCCAAUAACCAAGUUCGGGUUUUGGGAGAGAAUGAUAAAUGUCAGAUUUUAUCCAAGGUCCCUGUUUUGUGGAAGAGGAGAUGUAUAUUUCAACCGCUAAAAAAUGAUCUGCCGUGUGAAAUGCCCCUGAGCGGAGCGGCAGACUCUACCGAUAGCAAAACUGAGGAGACACCUUUAAUUGCUGGGAAUUCUUCCGGGGAGAAAAAGGAAAAGCCUUCGGAUAGCAAAACAGAGGAAAGGCUCUCAGUUGCUGAGAAAUCUUCUGGUGAGGGGAAACAACCCAAAGCCUUGGCUUGGAAGGACCAGGAAGCACCACAAAGAUCCUCUCAGAAUAAAAAUCAGCCACCACCUUCCGGUGACAAACAGAAAAAUAAUAUCCUAGAAGCAGCGAAACGCAAGCCGAUCCUGAAGUCCACGUCACCUAAAAUGACAAAGUGGAAAGUAAAAGAUGACACCCUAGGGAAAAGCACAGAUAAUUCAACUUUAUCUGGUAAAGAAUACCUGGGGAAGGUGGUGAUUUCUCAGGGGAAUUGGGAAAUUACCACAGAGGCAGAGACGCCUCUGCGGAAGGAUUUGUCCCCUGCUCCACAGGGCCAAACGGUGCUUUCUACUGAUGAGGUGAGAGAAGUGCAAGUCUCUACAUUAGUCAAGGAGAAAAACCUAAAGGUGACGUGUUCCCUGAAGAUGCACGAAAGAAAGACUGAAGCUGUACACUUAAAAACAACCCGAUUUCCAAAGACAUACAAUCCGCAGAAUCCUACCCCUGAGAGCCAAAACGAACUCAGUAUGCGUACUGAGGGAAAAGCCCUAGAAACAAGACAGGGUUUGAAGCCUGAAACGGUAGAUCAAUCUCAACAGAAAGUCCAUUCUUUCCAGGAACAUCCUGUUCCAGAAGAAGAAGGCAGUUCUAGAGAUCAUACGUCUGCCAAAUGCAGAAAUCAGAAUUUUAGAUCCAAGGAAGAGAUGCAACCUUCAGAGCUGAAUUUACAACACAAGCAUCCCACAUCCCCCUCGAGCUCUCCUACCACCGGUUUAAAACCCCUUCAAGAGGUCGCUUCGGAGGUUCCGACUUUCUCCCGAGGCACCGAUCCCAGAGCAGCCGAGGGAGCAAACACCAAAGCCAGCCAAACCGAAGCGGUGUCUGUUCCAAAAAUAGUCAGAGCGAGAUCAGAAUCGCACCACGAUGAAAAACAAAUGCCUCGCCGAUCGGGUCUGUGGACCCAGGCCCCGUGCUCGAGCCGGACCCACAGGCCCCUUCCUCUGGACUUCAGAGAAAGGCAUGAGAAGAAGAAAGCAGACGAAGGGUUACGAAGCACCGUUAGUUCGGUUUUCCCGGAUGACAAAACUAAAAAGGGCCUGGAACGCCACCCGAGAAAGAUGACGGCUCCUGGGAAACAAGGAAUUGUAAAACAAGUAGGAGAAACUCAGAGCACAUUCCCAUCCCCGUCCUCGGAGUCGGGUCCUGCCCCGGGCAAGGAAACAGUGAUUCUCAAAAAAUUAGACAUCACGCAUCAUUGCACUACCCAGAAGCAGUCUGUGGCCAUAAAAAUGCAUUUACUAUUAAAUCCCAACUCUUCAGUGACUCAUGCUGAGACCAGGGAGAUACCACAAACUUGUGCUCUCAGCAAACUUUCCCCCGAAGAGCUGAACAAGCUCACUAUGUCCCUGGGAGUGAGAACGCUGGAAAUGAAAAUGAAAAUUCCCGAAGCAGUAAGGGAAUCUUUCACAGCAGCGCACGGCUGCGGCCAAAAGGAGAUUCAGUCUUCAGAGAUUCAGCUCAAGAGUCAAGUCUCAAAAUCAAGAGAUCGGUCCUGGCCAUCGAUGGAGGAGGAGGAGAUGGAGGAGAAGGAUCUCCAUCCAGAAGACCUUGAUAUAAAACACAAAUGCCUGUUGGAGAGUCCUGUUGAAAAUUUACUCCCCCAACUGACUCAAGGGCUUGAAAUGAACACCACCCAAGAAACCAGAGAUGACAGGAAAGACGAAACUUUGGUUUCUCCUCCCGACACAAGGGAAGGGUUAGAACAACAUAUCUACGAAAUUCCACCAUCAUUCCAAACAUUAAUAAAGCCUCUUAUUCCUCCUGAUUUUCAGUCUGAGUUCCAUUUAAUGUCGAUGGAGUCCUUGAGACCCGAACAGCCGGAAACAUCUUCCACGAUGAGUGCCGAAGCUCUUCCGCCUCAUGACGUAAUCUCUAAUAUGACUGAUUCCCCUCCUCUGCCAGAAGAAUCCCCACCUCUUCUAAAGAAGAAAGAAAACAACAAGAAAGUCCAUUUCCAGAUGUCAGAGGUGGAAGAGAGGGAUUCAAAUCCGAAAGAUAAAACCAUUCCACACCCUCGGGAGAGGGAACGGGAAAAUACACAAAAGUCCGUUCCCUUACAGAAAUCUCCACUUCCUUCUGAGGAGGUGUCGGAGAAAUUCGAAACGCCCGUCAAGACGUCGGGAGUGGAGUGUGAGUGCUAUGAAUUACAGAGAUAUGAAUCCUUUCCGGUAUACGCUGAUCUCCAUAAGUGUCCGUGUGAAACGGAUCUCAGAAUCCACUAUGGAUUUCAAAGAUGUAGGACGACAGAAAGACGGUCUCCUCCUGAAAGAGCGGGGACCACACCAAACCCAGAUUCUGUCCCAAGAAAUCCAGGUCGCCGACAUAACCGAGGCCGCGAGAGGCACAGCCUCCGUGCCGUUGCACCCUUCAACAAACCCCACCAAACCAGGAAAAUGAAAUGCCCAAUCCACAAAAGCCAGUCCCAUCAUCGAGCAUCCGGACUGUCAGUGGGGAGCUCAGACGUGCCGACCGGGCCCCAUUCAGUAUUUAGUCCAAAAACAGAGAGGGGAGCGAGUCAGCCUCCGUUACCCGAAUCGACCGACAGACCCCUAGAUGAAAAGAAAAGACAAUUCCAUUCACCUCCAGGAAACCAAGAGGAAAAGAACCCUCCAGCUCAGUUACUUGGGAAGAGCAACAAAUAUUUGGACUUUAUCUGCAAUUACGAAGAGGUUGCCGAGAUGCAGAGGAGAUGGAAGAAGAAAGAGGUGAACGCCAAGCCGGACCCACCGGAGGUUUCUCGAUCAAGCAAAUCAGAAUCGAAAGCAGUGGCCCCUCGGGAAGGUGACGAUUUCAUUUCCAGAUUCGCACUCAGAAAGCCCUUUUUUUACAUCUGCUCACCAGCGGGUUCACCGGGGGUCAGGCACAAAACCAUUCGCUGGAACAUCCCUCACAGUAUCUUGAGUCAGAGUGGAUUCCGCACACCUUUAAUCGCCAGUUUUUCAGAUUCCUGGAACACGUGGAGGUGCCCUAGGAAGUUAAUGAAGUCCUUGUCGGCAUCCUUUAGUUCAGAUUCAUCCUGCCAUCAGUGACGAUAUUUUCCCGAGAGCCUCUCUAGACUAAGCUGCAGGCCGGUCUCCACUGGUGAUCAACACUCCAUGGAUGUGCUGCCAACAGGGGUGAAGAAGGAAAGGCUGGUAUGCGGGAUGUUCAGUUUGAGAAGCCUCGAACAGGCUUUGGUUUUGUCUGGAAUGCCUGAGGGUUUGAAGAACGGAAGAAAACGGAACAAAGAGGGGAAAUCGGAUUAACGUCACAAGGCAACCCCGAGAGACGAACGGCAGUGAAGAAACAGACGAUGAACUAUUGCUCCCUUUCACAGCCAGCGGGUCAGACGCAGGCCAAGAUAAAGCAUUAGCGGCCCUGAAAUUGAUUGUCAUUUUUAAAGAAAGGUGUCUUGAUGAUAAACCGUAUAAUAUCAACAGAGCUUCAGAAAAAAUAAUGAAGAGAGCCCUCUUAUGAUCCAAGCUGGCUAAUAGUGGUUAACUGGAAAUGUGGUUGUAUUAAAUAUAUGUUCAAAGAGAAAA